AAAGGGGGGAAAGCCCAGCAGCUGCAAGUAAUUUCUGUCCAGUCAUCAGAACAACUUUCUGCUUUAAUUGUAAUUACUACACCAACGUUCAGAACUAACUGGGGAAAUAACACAAGAACAUUAACAUGGACAAUGCUGAAACAGUUGGUAGAUUCUAUGUGCACUGUAAGUUGAGUAAGAAAAGUAAGUGAUUUUUGAGAAAAGUGCAGUUGUUUCACAGAACAAAGACAAAAUGGACUAGUCAUUGUUGGGUAACACUCUCUCUUGGUGAUGCUGGACAGCGGUGGCCAGCUGUGGAUCCCAGCCAGCCACGGAUCACAGGGAAACAGAAACUGAGUCCUUACAAUGCAAACUCAAAGCAAGAAUAAUAGCUCAACGAUCUUUUCAAGAACCUGGGAAAUUUCCAUUUGCUGCUCUGCAGUCCUGAGUGUCACUUGCACUUCAUUCUCAGGCUAGACCCUCACAGUCACAAGAUAGCUGCAACAGUUCCAGAUGUCAUAUCCCAUCACAGCCAGAUCCAGAGGAAGAAGAGACCACCUUCUCCAAUGUUUUUUCUCUUAGGUGUAAGAAAACUCUUCCUUAAACCCCCAGCAAACUUUCUCUCUCCUCCUAGGUAAGAAUCACAUAGCAUGCUCUGCCUAAAUCAGUCUCUGAAAAGGGAAAUAAAACCAUCUAAAAUGAUCAAGAUAUUCAAUGUACCCUCACAAACUGGAGAGAGGCUCUUUCCCAAGUACCUAGCCAUGGAGCAAAAGUUGUAUCCUUUAUCUUUUUCCCCUAACUUUUGCUAUCAUUAGAUGUAAUGAUGAAUAGUUAUUAUUGUACCAAAUAAAAUUUUAAACAUAUACUUAAGUAGAAAGAAGUGCAUAAUGAAUCAAAUAAUAAGCCCCAUCCCAGGUACCCAUCUUCUGGCUCCAUAAUUAAUUCAUGGCCCAUCCCCUUUGGUCUAUAUCCCUUUCACUUCCCUACCUCCUCCCCUAGAUUAUUUUGAAGUAAAUAUAGCUAUUGUGUCAUUUCAUCUGUAAAUAUAUCUGUAUACAUCUUUAAAAGGGCAAGACUCUUGAAAAACAAAACUACAA